rnacentral:rRNA from 1 species
AACGAACGCUGGCGGCAUGCCUAACACAUGCAAGUCGAACGAGACCUUCGGGUCUAGUGGCGCACGGUUGCGUAACGCGUGGGAACCUGCCCUUAGGUUCGGAAUAACUCCCCGAAAGGGGUGCUAAUACCGGAUAAUGUCUUCGGACCAAAGAUUUAUCGCCUUUGGAUGGGCCCGCGUUGGAUUAGCUAGUUGGUAGGGUAAAAGCCUACCAAGGCGACGAUCCAUAGCUGGUCUGAGAGGAUGAUCAGCCACACUGGGACUGAGACACGGCCCAGACUCCUACGGGAGGCAGCAGUGGGGAAUAUUGGACAAUGGGCGAAAGCCUGAACCAGCAAUGCCGCGUGAGUGAUGAAGGCCUUAGGGUUGUAAAGCUCUUUUACCCGGGAUGAUAAUGACAGUACCGGGAGAAUAAGCUCCGGCUAACUCCGUG